UACAGAGGUCUCAAGCGUUGUUCGGAAUCACUGGGCGUAAAGGGUGCGUAGGCUGUGUUGUAAGUCAGAGGUGAAAUCCCGGGGCUCAACCUCGGAACUGCCUCCGAUACUGCAAGACUUGAGGACUGGAGAGGAGAUUGGAAUUCAUGGUGGAGCAGUGAAAUGCGUAGAUAUCAUGAGGAACGCUAGUGGCGUAGGCGAAUCUCUGGACAGUUCCUGACGCUGAGGCACGAAGGCCAGGGGAGCAAACGGG
rnacentral:rRNA from 1 species